CCCAGGACCCUGGGAUCAUGUCCUGAGCCGAAGGCAGACGCUUAAUGACUGAGCCACCCAGGCACACCUCCUGUGAUGGUUCUUGACAUUAGGGUGUGAGGCACCAUUUCCAAGGAGUGGAAGUCAGUGUUGGUACUUUGCUGACCUAAAGUGUGAGAGGACCCUUCUGCUCACCAGGUACAAAGACCGUGAUGGGGGUUGGGGCUCAAAUAAAGUGUGCUGAGGAAGCGGUGGCCACUUGAGGAUCAGGCCGGAAGAGCCUGGCUCCUGUACUAUCAGAAGAUAAGAUUCAGAGACUAGAUGGGAUGGCCAUCACCCUCUUCAUCUCCUGAGAUCUGCUUGCGGACUCCACAGGGAGUUAACGGUUGCUGUGGUGACACAGGCACACCAGGACCAAAGGAGCAUUUUGGGAAGGACUCGCGCUGCUUGCUGCUCAGGAUGUAAUGAUGGGGGGUGGGCGCUUUUGCACCCUGCAUCUCUCACAUAACAGAUGAUAGCAUUUAUGGAAGCCUUGCUAUGUGCCAGUGCCCUAUCUCUGUGGGUCAGCCUGAGACAAGGCUUUGUUCCAAGGGGCUCUCAGGAGCAGGAAAGGCCAUCUGAGGUCUGAAGUUACAGGAUCCUCUAAGCCCUGGGAGGCAGGCGGGACAAGGAUUAACAUCCCUGUUUAACCAUGAGGUCACACGGCAAGUUGGGUGACAGAGUCCCAGCCCACACGCAGGUCUCUGGACCCCACACCCAGCGCUCCAUCCUCUGUUUGAUGCUGUCUUCUCUCUUGCAUUUCACCCCAUGACUUCAGCCCAACAUUUGUAAAACUUUCCCAUAGAAACAUCCCUGA